GCGAGAGCUGCUUUUCUACUGAACACACAAGUUGAUUUCCUCACUAUCACUGUGUCUGAACAGGAACGAUGAUCUCACUCUUUGUGGCGCUUUACUCUCUGCUUUGUCUCUGCACAGCUGUAAAAACAUCUGACAUCAAGGAGCUUCACGUGAAAACAGUAAAGAGUGGAGAAGAUGUAACUAUAGAGUGUAACAUCACUAUGAUUACAGACAAAAGUAAAGUAUCCUGGUACAGACAGAAUUUUGGAAAAGUGCCUCAGUUUUUUGCUAAAUAUUACGGGACAAAUUAUUUCACAUUUACUGAUGGAUUUAAUGAUAAUCGCUUCAGUAUUACUGUAAAUGAGCAGCAGUUUAAUCUCAACAUUAAGAACCUGAGAGAAGAUGAUGGAGGAGAAUAUUUCUGUGGAGAAAAUGAUGGAACUACAAUAAAGUUCACAUCUGGAGAACGUCUGCAAUUUGAAGGUAAACAAAUGUUAUUUUUCCAUCCAGAUUCCAGUUGUACUGAUCAGAUGCAUGUGCUCUUCUUGCUCUCUAUUGUUAGAGUUGGAGUUCUUGCCUUCAUGAUUAUUAUCUUUCCAAUCCUCCUGAUUGUUUGUAAAUUCAGAUCAAAUUAGAAAUUUAAUAUAGAAAUAGAAGAAAUAGUGAAAUAAGGACAAAACCAUGUGUUGGAUUCAGUUCAUGAUAAUUGAUGAUGUUGGUUAUAUACUGGAAUG